rnacentral:rRNA from 1 species
UACGGGGGGGGCAAGCGUUGUUCGGAAUUACUGGGCGUAAAGCGUGUGUAGGCGGCUUUGCAAGUCGGAUGUGAAAGCCCCGGGCUCAACCCGGGAAGUGCACUCGAUACUGCGAAGCUUGAGUGUCGGAGAGGUUGGUGGAAUUCUCGGUGUAGAGGUGAAAUUCGUAGAUAUCGAGAGGAACACCGGUGGCGAAGGCGGCCAACUGGACGAACACUGACGCUGAGACACGAAAGCGUGGGGAGCAAACAGG